GAAUGGGAAGAACAGACAGCUUGCAGAAGUGAGAUGGAAAAGCUUGGGGCCACGCUGCAGGGCCUGGAGCGGGACGCAGGAGUGGGAAAAUUCUCUGUGUAACCCUACUGUCCUGGAACUUGCUCUAUAGAUCAGGCUGGGCUCAAACUCGCAGAGAUCUGCCUGCCCCUGCCUCCUGAGUGCUGUGAUUGAAUGUGUGCACCACACUGGAUGGUCCCAUGAUUCUUGAAUCCAGAUGUAGAACUCUCAGCUCUGCCUAUACCAUGCCUGCCUGGAUGUGUCCAUGUUCCUGCCUUGAUGAUAAUGGCCUGAACCUCCAGACUGAGACCUCGACCAGGUCAGCUCGGAACCUCAGCCUCCUCAUCUGGACCCACGGGUGUGAUGAUCUCUGAUGUUUUCUGUAAGGACUACCCGGUGCUGUGCAUCCAAAGAUCCACCCUCCUUCAGGGGUGGUUGCUCUUUCCAUCUGCAACCUUACAGCAUCCCAUCAGCGACCCUCAAGCACGCAAGCAGUAUCCAGCCACAAGCUCCAUGCCGCCGUCUGCUUUCAGAGUACCCAGCCAUUGGCCAGCCCCUUUCCAGGCUCUAUCUCAUCCCUCCUCCCUGACGGGCUGUAAGCCAGUCAUUACCAUCACCAAGCCAACCUCAAAUUCCUAUGAUGUCACAUCACUAGACAGGUCUCAGCUGUCACUUCCAGGUCCUUAGAAGAGGCCACAGAUACCCAGGUCACAAGUACUUCAAGGAUUCUUGGCCUAAGAUAGAGAAUUUUAUCCCUUGAGUGGGCACAAGAAUGAGAGAACCCAGCCACCGUGCCCAGUAGCCUAUCUGGCCCAGGGUCCUCUGUGUCCUUGUACUGAUGUGUCUGUCCAGACAGAUCUUAUCCCUCUUACAGGAGGAGGGGUAGGCAGUGGUUAGCCUCCCUAGGGAGUGGUGCAGAGCCUAGCUCCUCAACUUUCUGACUUCUCUCAAGAGAAGUCAUGUGACCUCCCAAUGCAUUCUCCGCCACGAAGAGGGGACACGGGUGCCACCCCUUUCUUUGUCCUAACAGUAGAGCAACUGUGCCCGUGAGAAACCCACAGCCCUGCCAACCACUUCCUGCUCCCCUGAGGCAGUGAAUAUUUUCUUGUGCCUUCUCUUCAUUGGGGUAGGAAGUGUAGACUUCAAAACAGGGUUUCUCUAUGUAGCCCUGGUUGUUGUGGAACUAGGUCUAUAGUCCAGGCUGGUCUUGACCUCAGAUAUCCACCUGCCUUUACCUUCUGAGUACUGGGAUCACAGGCAUGUUCCAGCAUCACCCAGUAUCAUUUACCAAUAAUUUCAUAAUCUUUGGCCUCCUGUUGUAUUUCUCAGCAUGUAUACAUGUGUGUUGCCUGCCAUGCGUGAGUCAUCUAUAUGUGGAGGCCAAAGUGGAUGCUGAGUGACUUCCUGGAUUGCCCGACAUUCUGUUUAUGGAGGCAGACUCUGUCUCUAAAGCCAGAGCCUUUGGAAUCUGCUGGCCUAGACAGCUAGCUUGCCCUAGGGAUCUAGUCUCUGCCUAGCAGGUGCUGGGAUUACAGGCAUCCAUCUUCCAGGACGUCGUGGAUUUUUAUGUGGGUGCUUAGAGAUCUGACUCAGGCCCUCAGACUUGCACAGGAAGGCGUUUAGCCACCGAGCCAUCUCUCCAGCCCCCUUCCUCAUAUAAUUUUGAUAUUAAAAAAAAAUUCC
ensembl:lincRNA Gm16063 predicted gene 16063